rnacentral:rRNA from 1 species
AGUGAACGCUGGCGGUAGGCCUAACACAUGCAAGUCGAACGGCAGCACAGUAAGCGCUUGCUCUUACGGGUGGCGAGUGGCGGACGGGUGAGGAAUACAUCGGAAUCUACUUUUUCGUGGGGGAUAACGUAGGGAAACUUACGCUAAUACCGCAUACGACCUACGGGUGAAAGUAGGGGAUCUUCGGACCUUGCGCGAUUGAACGAGCCGAUGUCGGAUUAGCUAGUUGGCGGGGUAAAGGCCCACCAAGGCGACGAUCCGUAGCUGGUCUGAGAGGAUGAUCGGCCACACUGGAACUGAGACACGGUCCAGACUCCUACGGGAGGCAGCAGUGGGGAAUAUUGGACAAUGGGCGCAAGCCUGACCCAGCCAUACCGCGUGGGUGAAGAAGGCCUUCGGGUUGUAAAGCCCUUUUGUUGGGAAAGAAAAGCAGCAGGUUAAUACCCCGCUGUUCUGACGGUACCCAAAGAAUAAGCACCGGCUAACUUCGUG